UACGGAGGGUGCGAGCGUUGUCCGGAAUCACUGGGCGUAAAGGGCGCGUAGGCGGCCUGAUAAGUAGGGGGUGAAAUCCUGCGGCUUAACCGCAGGGCUGCCUUCUAAACUGUCAGGCUAGAGCACGGUAGAGGCAGAUGGAAUUCCCGGUGUAGCGGUGGAAUGCGUAGAGAUCGGGAAGAACAUCAGUGGCGAAGGCGGUCUGCUGGGCCUGUUGCUGACGCUGAGGCGCGACAGCGUGGGGGAGCAAACAGG
rnacentral:rRNA from 1 species